rnacentral:rRNA from 1 species
UACGGAGGGUGCAAGCGUUAUCCGGAUUUACUGGGUUUAAAGGGUGCGUAGGCGGACAGGUAAGUCAGUGGUAAAAUCCCCGAGCUCAACUUGGGAACUGCCGUUGAUACUAUCUGUCUUGAAUACCGUGGAGGUGAGCGGAAUAUGUCAUGUAGCGGUGAAAUGCUUAGAUAUGACAUAGAACACCGAUUGCGAAGGCAGCUCACUACGCGGUCAUUGACGCUGAGGCACGAAAGCGUGGGGAGCAAACAGG